GACGAACCGUGCGAACGUUAUUCGGAAUCACUGGGCUUAAAGCGCGUGUAGGCGGCCCGGCACGUCAUCGGCUGAAAUCCCCCGGCUCAACCGGGGAAGGGGCCGUGAUACGGCCGGGCUGGAGGGGGGUAGGGGGGACGGGAACUCACGGUGGAGCGGUGAAAUGCGUUGAGAUCGUGAGGAACGCCCGCGGCGAAAGCGCGUCCCUGGACCCCACCUGACGCUGAGACGCGAAAGCCAGGGGAGCGAACGGG
rnacentral:rRNA from 1 species